UACGAAGGGUGCUAGCGUUGCUCGGAAUCACUGGGCGUAAAGCGCACGUAGGCGGACUCUUAAGUCGGUGGUGAAAUCCUGGAGCUCAACUCCAGAACUGCCUUCGAUACUGAGAGUCUUGAGUCCGGGAGAGGUGAGUGGAACUGCGAGUGUAGAGGUGAAAUUCGUAGAUAUUCGCAAGAACACCAGUGGCGAAGGCGGCUCACUGGCCCGGUACUGACGCUGAGGUGCGAAAGCGUGGGGAGCAAACGGG
rnacentral:rRNA from 1 species